GCCGCUGGCGGCAGGCUUAACACAUGCAAGUCCAUCGGUAACAUAAAGAAGCUUGCUUCUUUGAUGACGAGUGGCGGACGGGUGAGUAAUGCUUGGGAAUCUAGCUUAUGGAGGGGGAUAACUACGGGAAACUGUAGCUAAUACCGCGUAGUAUCGAGAGAUGAAAGUGUGGGACCUUCGGGCCACAUGCCAUAGGAUGAGCCCAAGUGGGAUUAGGUAGUUGGUGAGGUAAAGGCUCACCAAGCCGACGAUCUCUAGCUGGUCUGAGAGGAUGACCAGCCACACUGGGACUGAGACACGGCCCAGACUCCUACGGGAGGCAGCAGUGGGGAAUAUUGCGCAAUGGGGGCAACCCUGACGCAGCCAUGCCGCGUGAAUGAAGAAGGCCUUCGGGUUGUAAAGUUCUUUCGGUAGCGAGGAAGGCAUUUAGUUUAAUAGACUAGGUGAUUGACGUUAACUACAGAAGAAGCACCGGCUAACUCCGUGCCAGCAGCCGCGGUAAUACGGAGGGUGCGAGCGUUAAUCGGAAUAACUGGGCGUAAAGGGCACGCAGGCGGUGACUUAAGUGAGGUGUGAAAGCCCCGGGCUUAACCUGGGAAUUGCAUUUCAUACUGGGUCGCUAGAGUACUUUAGGGAGGGGUAGAAUUCCACGUGUAGCGGUGAAAUGCGUAGAGAUGUGGAGGAAUACCGAAGGCGAAGGCAGCCCCUUGGGAAUGUACUGACGCUCAUGUGCGAAAGCGUGGGGGACAAACAGGAUUAGA
rnacentral:rRNA from 1 species